UGCUGUCUCUCAUUUCUGCUUCUAUAGGUUUCACUUUCUGAAUGCUUCUCUUCCUUUUCCAGGUUGCCCUUGGCAUUCAAACUACAUUUUACCUGGAUGAAAAUAUGGAAGGACUUUACUCUUGCCGGUAAUCCUACCUGCUCACGUUUCAUAAACCACCAGGCUACACAUCUUGUGACUUGUUUCCUCCUGCUUACUGUGAAUUUGAUUAAUGAAGGAACUUAGGUUU